AUGUAUACACUAGCUUGGAACUGCCGGGGCGGGGGGAACCGCCGGACAGUUCGCGAAUUACUGGCUCUAUGCCAGCAUAACCCCAAGUUGGUGUUCUUGUGUGAAACUAGACAAUCAGUGGAGAGAAUGGAAACACUUAAAUGGAGACUGGGUUUGAGAGGUUUUACUGCUGUUCCAAGUGAUGGCCGCAGCGGGGGUUUAGCGUUGCUUUGGCAUGAGUCG
rnacentral:rRNA from 1 species